AUUUUAAUGGAAUGACGUGCUUAGCUUGCUUUUCAUGCUUUCGUUUCACGUCUGACUUGAUUUUCAAAUUUGGGUGAGGAGUUUGUCUUUAUUUAUUUUGGUUACUCCAAGGCCAUCCUUUCUGUUCUUUCGAGUUUGCGUCCUUCAUUUUUUGAUAUUGAUUUGACAACCUUUGUGGCCUAAACUUUGAGGAGGCUUUAGCCAACGAUGUAUGUUCUGUCCUUCAAAGAGAAUAUCAUAACAGAGCUGCAAAGUUUGUGGUCAAGGAUGUCCAAUUAAUUCAGGCAAAGCAUUUUGAAUUUGAUGUUCCGAAUGAUUUCUUGGUGAUGGGCAAAGACUGGCGAAGCAUUAAAGGAAACAGUUUAGUGCGAAGUAAGAGCACCCAAAAAGUAGUUCAGUGGGAUGAUUAAUUGAAUGAAAAUUCGUAUAGGUGGUAAGAAUUCGUUUUUACUUUAUAUUUGGAAAUUGAUUUUCAUUUUCCCUGUCUAUUUUUUUACGCGUAAUGGAUGACUUAUUUUACAGGCUUUGUUACGCUGGUGCUUUUUGCCUUUUGGUGGUGAGAAGAUUGGUAUAUAAGUAAUGUGCUGUUUAUGUAAAAUAAUUCGAUCUGAUUGUAAUGUUGAAUUGUUCUUUUGAAAAAUUCAAGUUAUACCCAUGUUUGGGUUGGUGCAAUUUUUUUUGCGGUUUUCCUUCUCUGCUUCUAGGUUUUUUUGUCCCCGUGAUUGAUGUAUUGGCAAACUUUAUUUAUUCAUUAUUACUUUUACUACGUUGGGUUUUUCAUGAUCUGACUGUUGUUGAUGAA
rnacentral:sRNA from 10 species